CCUUAUCAUUCUCUCGCCC
rnacentral:miRNA from 3 species